rnacentral:rRNA from 1 species
GACGAACGCUGGCGGCGUGCUUAACACAUGCAAGUCGAACGGAAAGGCCCUGCUUUUGUGGGGUGCUCGAGUGGCGAACGGGUGAGUAACACGUGAGUAACCUGCCCUUGACUUUGGGAUAACUUCAGGAAACUGGGGCUAAUACCGGAUAGGAGCUCCUGCUGCAUGGUGGGGGUUGGAAAGUUUCGGCGGUUGGGGAUGGACUCGCGGGUUAUCAGCUUGUUGGUGGGGUAGUGGCUUACCAAGGCUUUGACGGGUAGCCGGCCUGAGAGGGUGACCGGCCACAUUGGGACUGAGAUACGGCCCAGACUCCUACGGGAGGCAGCAGGGGGGAAUAUUGCACAAUGGGCGGAAGCCUGAUGCAGCAACGCCGCGUGCGGGAUGACGGCCUUCGGGUUGUAAACCGCUUUCGCCUGUGACGAAGCGUGAGUGACGGUAAUGGGUAAAGAAGCACCGGCUAACUACGUG